AUGCUGAAACCAAAUUCAGUUAAGACUUGGCUUCUUAUUUUUCUGUCGAAUGCUGGACUGCAACCAUUAACUUGCUUAACUGAUUUUAGUUUUUCAUGUGCAGGGUUGAUCGGUAGCUUGAAUGGUUUGGGUCAUGCAAACUGUUUUGAUUUUGGCUUUGCAACUUUUAUUCCGACGGAAGCAUGCCGUCAUAGCAGAUUUGUUAUAAAAGGAAUGGGUGAGAUGGAUUUGAUAAAGCUGCAAUUUUGUGCAUGGUUGAAUCAAAGUUUGACAAAGAAUUUUGGAGGUUGCAAAAAUGGCAUCAUGAAGUCAUAA